rnacentral:rRNA from 1 species
UACGUAGGGGGCAAACGUUAUCCGGAUUUACUGGGUGUAAAGGGAGCGUAGACGGAAUAGCAAGUCUGAUGUGAAAACCCGGGGCUCAACUCCGGGAGUGCAUUGGAAACUGUUGAUCUAGAGUGUCGGAGAGGCAAGCGGAAUUCCUAGUGUAGCGGUGAAAUGCGUAGAUAUUAGGAGGAACGCCAGUGGCGAAGGCGGCUUGCUGGACGAUGACUGACGUUGAGGCUCGAAAGCGUGGGGAGCAAACAGG